GAUGAACGCUGGCGGCGUGCCUAAUACAUGCAAGUCGAGCGAACGGACGAGAAGCUUGCUUCUCUGAUGUUAGCGGCGGACGGGUGAGUAACACGUGGAUAACCUACCUAUAAGACUGGGAUAACUUCGGGAAACCGUAGCUAAUACCGGAUAAUAUUUUGAACCGCAUGGUUCAAAAGUGAAAGACGGUCUUGCUGUCACUUAUAGAUGGAUCCGCGCUGCAUUAGCUAGUUGGUAAGGUAACGGCUUACCAAGGCAACGAUGCAUAGCCGACCUGAGAGGGUGAUCGGCCACACUGGAACUGAUACACGGUCCAGACUCCUACGGGAGGCAGCAGUAGGGAAUCUUCCGCAAUGGGCGAAAGCCUGACGGAGCAACGCCGCGUGAGUGAUGAAGGUCUUCGGAUCGUAAAACUCUGUUAUUAGGGAAGAACAUAUGUGUAAGUAACUGUGCACAUCUUGACGGUACCUAAUCAGAAAGCCACGGCUAACUACGUG
rnacentral:rRNA from 1 species